CAGCCGCGGUAAUACGUAGGGGCCCAAGCGUUGUCCGGAAUUAUUGGGCGUAAAGAGCUCGUAGGUGGCUGGUCGCGUCUGCCGUGAAAGCCGCAGCUUAACUCGGGUUUCCGGUGGAUACGGGCCGGCUAGAGGUAGGUAGGGGCAACCGGAAUUCCUGGUGUAGCGGUGAAAUGCGCAGAUAUCAGGAGGAACACCGGUGGCGAAGGCGGCUUGCUGGGCCUUACCUGACGCUGAGGAGCGAAAGCGUGGGGAGCGAACAGGAUUAGAUACCCUGGUAGUCCACGCUGUAAACGUUGGGCGCUAGGUGUGGGGAUCUUCCACGGUUCCGUGCCGUAGCUAACGCAUUAAGCGCCCCGCCUGGGGAGUACGGCCGCAAGGCUAAAACUCAAAGGAA
rnacentral:rRNA from 1 species